CACAAACCAUUGAUUGUCACUUGGGACAACUUUUAGGCCCAAAUGACCUAAUCAGAGAGCGGAAUGCCACAGAGGCUCCACCUUCUUUCCCGUGUUGGCAGCGUUGAUUGUGUGCUGGAGAUCCAACCCUGAUGAGACAGCUGAGACAGAAAGCGCGAGUUCCACUUGGAGGCUGUCCGAGAGCCCUUCGACCACCUGAUGGGGGCGCUCUGACGGAUCAGGUGCUGCAGGCCUGGAGGAAGGCGCCCGUAACCUCCUGGGCCCAUCUCUCCGAGCUGAAUCAGAAUCACACUCAUGUCCCUCUGCACCAGCGCGUGGUGAAGCCCGACCUGGAGUUCACCGGUUCAGAAAAACAAAAAUAUUUUAUAAUUCUCUAAGACGUGCUUGAGCCAUGACUAGACAGCAGUUCAUAAAAGCAAGAAGAGACCAUGGUUGUUGCAGACAACUUCACCUCAAAGGCGGCUGUUGACCAAUUGUUGAAGAUAAAUGGGGAGAUUCUGAGGCAAACCUCUGAUUGUUUGUUGCUCACUCACCAGACAUGAGUUGUGAAACUCCCCAGUUGGAACCAUUUUGAGAUGGUAUUGAUGAAGAAAUACCUUUAAAACAUUAUCGUCUUUGGGUUUUCCUUGACCAUCGUAAUCAACUUCAUCUGAGGAAAUAGGGCCUGAACAACAGAGCGAGGUCGAUGGCAAAAUACUUCACCAGCACAGCGGCGAGCGCAGCAAUCAGCAACACACACAUCCAUGAAAUGAUGAGGGGGAUGAUGGACUCUGGAAGACAAGCGCAAAUAUGUUUCAACAAGAUUCACAACAAACCCAACGAAGACCAAGUGUUGAUUAAACCAAAUGCUCCAAGAGACAUCAGAAUACCAACGUUUAGGCCAAGCACUGGGUUAGGAAAAUCAGAAAAAAUUAUUGAAACAUUUGUCUAUUUAAGUGGUCUUCUAAUAAAUGUAAUGCAUGAGUGUGACGGGCAAAAUGCAAAAGCGUCAAUGCAACAGCAAAAGGUUACAGAAGUCAUGCUAAACGCUAAAGUAUGCUAAAAUAGAAGCUAACUAAAUCAGAAACUAUGAUGCACUUUACUUGCAUGACUUUCGUUAACAUUGCUUCGGUUGCAGCUUUUUCUUGUUGGUUUGUGCCUUUUCCUGUUGUGUUGCUGCUUUUUGCGUUCUGUUGACCCUCUGUGGCCACCGUAGUAGAGCAGUGAAGUGACAAGAGAUCCAAAGGAUCAGAAUGAAAGAGAAUCACACAGAAACCGAGGAAGCAGUCUAAUUAAGACAGAAGCUUAACUGAGACUAAAGUGAUCUAAAACAAACCUGGGAAAAAAUCUAAAGAAAAUAACAUAAAGAAAACUGAAGACAAAAAUAAACUAAAAUAGAGAAAUGAACUAAUCUGGUGACAUCUAGAGAAAUUGGCAGAUUUUGACAAGAACGUUGAAAGAUGAAUAAAGAAAAACCAGCCAUGGAUAAGACAGAA